rnacentral:lncRNA from 1 species
UUUAAAAACUCAGGAUGGUGAGAGAUCACUUUUGACUGGGGAGGUGGGAUCUGAGAAGGGCAUUAAAAGUGAAGGACAAUGGCUGGAGAAGACAAGGGCAGAGACACUUGGAGGGGGAUGGAGACUCAGGUCAGGAAAAUUCUUCAGUGAUAAUCCAAAUGGCUAGGGCACCCUCAUUAGGACUCUCACCAAAGCAUGUAUCUUCAGGAUUGUAACCUUUUGCUUACUUUUUAGACAGCUAGACAAGAGGGUGGCCUCAGCAGACAUCAACUAUGUCAAUGGAUUCAACUCCAUAUGGCCAUAUCCAGCACAGGCAUGUCAUGGAACAAGCACUUAUGUGCUUGUUGACCUGAGCUGAAAUGACAACUGCAUAAGCCAAGCUCAGCAGGUGCAGGAGAGAAUAAAAAGGCAGGGGAAAGGUGGGAAGAAAGCUGGAAGGGAAGUGCGUGUUUUCUCUUCCUGUGGGUCAUAUAGCUGAAACUCUUUUGGAUAGUCAACAAGACUUCUGAGAGCCUUUGCAUAGGCACCACUUUCAAUGCAAGAAUGCAGAGACUGAGGAUUUAGAAGAAUUACAUAACUUGCAUCGGGUUCUACAGCAGUCAGCAGGAAACACAGCAGCUUAAACACAGGUUCUUCUGACUCCCGAGACAUACUCUUCAACCUCGAGGUCUUUGGCCUCGCAGUCUGACAGCAUGUUAAAAGGUCACCUCAUCUGUUCAGGUUGUCUCAAUGUGGAUAUGGCAGUUCCGCCUACUUGUGAACGGUGAACAAUCAUUUAUG